UCCUCCAUAGCUCAAUGGUAGAGCGAUCGGCUGUUAACCGAUAGGUUCCAGGUUCGAGCCCUGGUGGAGGAG
rnacentral:tRNA from 1 species